UUGUGUUUGGUUCGAGGUCCUUCUCAGACAUCUUCCAGCCUCUAGCAGGAGCCAGGAGCCAGUAGCUGAUGCUCAGAGAGUUCAAGAACAACGCCAGUGAUGCCUUCACAGAUUCCCUGAACAUGGUGCUAACUUCUGGCAACCUGUGGCUCUUGUGUUUGCUAGCUCAGGCAGCAUCUGAAGCAAAGCACUAUUAUUUGAAAGGAUUAGACCCUGAAGAAUGUGCAUGGGACAUGAGAAGUAUUGAAGCACAGUGGGUGAUACCAGGAGCAUCUGUGAUCUAAGAAGCCCUCAGAAAGGCGAGGAAGAAUGUGUGGCUGUUGCAAUGGGUUCCCUGGAAUGUCAAAUGAACAUGUGGGUGCCACCGGGUGCUGGGGAGAAUGCAAAGCUGUCUAGAUGGGGGAAAACAGUCACCAAGUGACUAAACAAUUUACUCACAGCCACAAAGGAGAAGAACAGAGCGUUCCUUGUUCAGACCAUGCGCCUUCCCUAUUGCUCUCCUGCAUACU